AGUGAACGCUGGCGGUAGGCCUAACACAUGCAAGUCGAACGGCAGCACAGUAAGAGCUUGCUCUUACGGGUGGCGAGUGGCGGACUGGUGAGGAAUACAUCGGAAUCUACUUUUUCGUGGGGGAUAACGUAGGGAAACUUACGCUAAUACCGCAUACGACCUACGGGUGAAAGCAGGGGAUCUUCGGACCUUGCGCGAUUGAAUGAGCCGAUGUCGGAUUAGCUAGUUGGCGGGGUAAAGGCCCACCAAGGCGACGAUCCGUAGCUGGUCUGAGAGGAUGAUCAGCCACACUGGAACUGAGACACGGUCCAGACUCCUACGGGAGGCAGCAGUGGGGAAUAUUGGACAAUGGGCGCAAGCCUGAUCCAGCCAUACUGCGUGGGUGAAGAAGGCCUUCGGGUUGUAAAGCCCUUUUGUUGGGAAAGAAAAGCAGCAGGUUAAUACCCCGCUGUUCUGACGGUACCCAAAGAAUAAGCACCGGCUAACUUCGUG
rnacentral:rRNA from 1 species